GUCCUGUGUCAAAAUAACGAAUGUUGAAAGUUUGGUAGCUCUGGCAAGCAUUGUACUGUGCUGAAGUUCUUCCAAGUUUACUGGAGAGAUUCUUUCCUCCUCUAUAUGUUACAUCAUAGUUGCCAAUUAGAGAGUUGGCUACAAACAGGGCUACAUUGUCAGAGCUAUUUCAGCCAGGCCCUUCUACUGCAAUAGCGAUAUGGGCCAGUGGGAGGGCAUCAUCACAUGCACGAAUCUCACUUCCAGUAAACCUACAGGGAGUCAGCAAUGGAACAGCAUCAUUCUCAUAGGUGUAUGAAAGACCACUGAAGUGUCGCUGAGCCAGUUCACACAGCUCCUUGUGAUUAAUUCCUCCAGCAGCUGCAAGUACC